CCUGUCUCCGAGAGGAAAAAAAAAAAAAAAAAAAAAAGAUUAAAAUGGCCCCUGCACAAGGAUGACAUGCAAAUUCAUCAAGCAUUCCAUAUAAGA
rnacentral:snRNA from 1 species